AAAAGAAAAAAAAAGACACAUAGAUUGGAGGUAAAGGAAUGGAAAAUGUAUUCCAUGCAAAUGGAAACCAAAAGAACUGGGAUAGCUAUACUUAGGUAAAAUAGAUUUUAAGUAAUGUAUACAAGGAGACAAAGGUCAUUGUAUAAUGAUAAAGGGAUCAAUUCAAGAGGAUAUAACAAUUAUAAAUAUAUAUGCACUCAGCAUCAGAGCACCUAAAUAUAUAAAGCAAAGAUAUAAAGAUCUGAAGAGAUAAACUGCAAUACAAUAAUGGUAGGGUACCUCAAUACCCAUUUUCAACAAUGUACAGAUCAUGCAGACAGAAAAUCAAUAUGGAAAUGUUGGAAUUGAGCCACAGUUUAGACAAAUGGAUCUAACAUAUAUACAGAACAUUUCAUCCAAUAGCAACAGAAUACACAUUAUUUUCAAGCUCACACAGAGCUUUCUGCAGAAUAGAUCAUACAUUAAGCUACAAAAGAAAACUUAACAAAUUUAAGCAGGUUAAAGUCAUAUCCAGUAUCUUUCAACCACAGUGGUAUGAAAUUAGGAAUUAAUAAUAGGAAAAAUGUCAGAAAAUUCACAAUAUGUAGAAUUAAACCAAAUUCUCCUGUACAACCAGUGGGUCAAAGACAAAAGUAAAAGGGACAUUAAAAAUUGUCUUGAGACAAAUGAAAAUGGAAACACCACAUGCCAAAACUUGCGGGUAGCAGCCAAAGCAGUCCCAAGAGGAAGAUAAUAGCAAUAAACACCUAUAUCGAAAAAGAAGAAAGACUGUGAACCAUCUAACUUUAUAUCUUAGGGAACUAGAAAGAGAAGAAUAAAUUAAGGCCAAAGUUAGUAGGAGGAAGGAAAUAAUAAAGAUCAGAGCAGAAAUAAACACAAACUAGAAAAACAACAGAAAAGAACAAAACUAACAGUUGGUUUUUAAGAUAAAAUCAACAAACCUUGAUCUAAACUAAGAAAUGAGAGAAGGCUAAAAUAAAAUUAGAAAAUAAAGCAGAGACAUUAUACAUGAUACUACAGAUAUACCAAGGAUCUUACGAGAUUGCCAUGAACUUGCUAACAAAUUGGAUAACCUAGAAGAAAUGGAUGAAUUCCUAAAACCAUAGAAUCUAUAUGAGCCGUAUACUUUCUUAACAUUUCUGCCAUCCUCCCUAUCCUCUUUGGUAUAGCCUCUCUUCAGACUGCCUCCUUAGCUCUCUUCUGGAUCACUAUAACAGCCUAACAAUUGUAUCACCUUCAGUUUUGCUCUUCCUUCCAUAUGACUAAAUAAAUGAAAAAUUUGAUCAGACAUUAACGAGUAGGGAGAGUGAAUUGGUAAUAAAAGGUCCACUUAUUUUGUCUUACAGUGAGAGUGGCUUGCUAUUAUCUCCCAUUAUUGAUGCAUUUCUAUCUUUGUCUUCCUGCAUCCCCUGCAGUUUUUGCUUCAUAAGAAUGUUUGCAGUGUUAUUUGGUACCAUACAUAUUCAUGUUAGGUCUUUAUUGUGAAUUACAGAUUUUAGAAUUAAAAAGGAGAUUUGGGCCGGGCACAGUGGCUCACGCCUGUAAUCCCAACACUUUGGGAGGCCGAGGUGGGCAGAUCACCUGAAGUCAGGAGUUUGAGACCAGCCUGCCCAGCAUGGUGAAACCCCGUCUCUACUAAAAAAAAAUACCAAAAAUUAGCCAAGUGUGGUGUCAGGCGCCAUAAUCCCAGCUACUCAGGAGGUUAAGGCAGGAGAAUCACUUGAACCUGAGAGACGGAGGUUGUGGUAAGCCAAGAUCGCCCCAUUGUACUUUAGCCUGGACAACAAGAACGACUCUGUCCCAAAAAAAAAAAAAAAAAAGAGAUUUGAGGGUCAUAUUUAUAUUUUUUUGGCUUGGAUUCUACGUUGCCUAGUAUCAGGAUCACCUCCCCUAUUUUCUUAUUGUUCUCAUUUCCCCUAUAUUUCAUUGUCCAUCCCAUUAUUUUUAGUCUUCUUACAUCACUUUGUUUCUUGUAUACAGUAUACUGUUGGUUCUAGCUUUGUAAGACAAAUUGAAAUAAGCUGAAUAGGUGAGUCAAGCCCACUCAUCAUUCAUAUGACUGAGUGUUUGGUUUGAAGCCUGUCAUAAAAUUGUAUUGUUAUAUUUGCUAUAUUUAUUUUCUGUGCAAUGUGUACUAUUUGUCAUUUUAUGAAAAUGUUUUACUGAUAGUUAAGAAUUUUUAUUCUAGUGGUUAUCUUUGUAUUUAUACUUUAUUCUCCAUUUUCUUAUUUAAGAUUUACUAUCUAGUUUGUCAGGUUUUAAUGCCUGUAAUUCACACUUAUUGCCUAUACAGCGAUCAAUGAUUUUAAUCUCACGUCUUUUUGCUCCCAUUUUUUAGUUGUUUUAUUUCUACCUGAUUGCAACAUAUAAUGUUUGUGUAUUGGUUUUGCACUCGAAUUCCUACUGUUGGUUUAGUCUGAAAGCUACUAUUAAAUAUAGUAAAUAUUGUAAUUUUAUUUUGCUGAAGUUUUUCAGUCAUCUCUUGUUGAAUGAAGCUCAUUCAUUAGUAGAUCUUCAUGAGUGGCUCAGGGGUACAUAAUUGUCUAAGUUAUGUGUUUGAAGCUGUUUUUCUAUUAUAGUGUUUUAUACUGAAGGACAGCUUGACUGAAUAUAAAAUCUUGGUUCACACUUUCAGUUUUUUGAAAAUUUAUUGUCUUGCUUUAUAUAUAUUUUUUGAGAAAUCUGAUACCAGUCUAAUUAUUUUGCCCUUGUAAAUUAUUUGAUCACGUAUCCCUGAAUCCUCGAGGAUUAAAAAAUUUUUUUCGGCCUGGCUCGGUGGCUCACGCCUGUAAUUCCAGCACUUUGGGAGGCUGAGGCGGGCAGAUCACGAGGUCAGGAGAUCAAGGCCAUCCUGGCUAACAUGGUGAAACCCCAUCUCUACUAAAAAUACAAAAAAUUAGCCUGGUGUGGUGGUGGGCGCCUGUAGUCCUGGCUACUCGGGAGGCUGAGGCAGGAGAAUGGCGUGAACCCGGGAGGCAGAGCUUGCAGUGAGCCGAGAGUGCGCCACUGCACUCCAGCCUGGGCAACAGAGCGAGACUCCGUCUCAAAAAAAAAAAAAGAAAAAAAGAAAAAUUUUUUUUUCAAGUUUAAAUAGUUUUACUGAGAUGUGUCUUGGAGUUAACAUUCAAAGUUUACUUUUCCAGUUAACUGGAAAUCCCUUUCAAAAUGUAGAUUCAGAUCCUUUUUAUUUCUGAUAAUUUUUCAUGGAUUAUAAUGUUAAAUAUUCUGUUCCAUUGUUUUUUAUUUCUUCUUCAGGGGUUCCAAUUAUAUGUGAGUUAUUUAUCUUUUGUUCAACUUUCUCUUUCUGACCAUUUUUCCUUCUUUUCUGUAUCGUAUUUAUUUGUUUAUUUUUGCAUCUAUCCAGUGUCUAAGUUUUCAUUAGUCUGUUUUCCUUUGGACACCUUGUAAUUUAGUCUUCAUUUAUAAUUCCCCCCCUUCCAUUUCUUUCUUGAAUUCAAUAAUCUUUAAAUUUACUCGUGGUUUUUUUAAUCUAUUUCUGUUUUUUAUAUUUUGAAUUUCCAAUUCACGGUGCUUUUUCAUAUCCCCAAAUGCUUAUCUGAGGAUUUUAUUCAGUUUGAUAUGUUGUGUUACAAUUUUCUUCUGAUUUAAUGGUUGCUUUUUGGUAGAGAAUUUUCAUCAGCCAAUGCAUGUUAAUUAUUGUUUGCUGAUUUCUCAUACUACCAUUAUAUAGAUUUAGUCCAUUUCCUUCCAUUCAUUUUUUUGAAUUUGAGGGGUUAUAAGAUUCCUAGUUCAGAAGGACUCUCUCUGUCAGCAUAGAAAAUACAAUUUCUUUAGGGGGUGUUUUUUUUAACUUUAUAGUAGAGGGAGGGAUUAUGUAUGUUCCAGUUUUUUGUUUUUUGUUUUUGUCUUGCAGGACCCUGAAUUUCUCCUGUUGCUUCUUUUCCCCUUCACCAUCCAGUUGCCAAAAGGCACCUUGCCUAUUCUUUUUGCUCUCUCCACUCCCUGAAGCUAUCCUGUAAUAAGUGUUGUGAUACUAAGAUACUUUAUAUUUUUGCACCUAGGAUAGAAUUUCUAUCUCUGCUGGUGAUUUUAGACCAAUUUUAGGCCUGCCACUAGAUCCGUUUUUCUUUAUUCUGUAUGUUCUUCUUUGGCCUGCCCUUGCUUGCUACAAAGGCUUAUGGUAGAAAUGUGAAAGAUCACUCACUUGGAUUUGGUGCUUUUAAUUUUUUUACUUAUAAGUAUUUGACAUUUGGCUAUAUUUUUCUUCUUGUUAGGCUGAGGGUGUAUUUUGUAUAGAUUUAUUUAUUCUUCUUGUUCUGUAUCGUUUAUGACGGACAUAGGUAGCUGCCAUUUUAUUUUAUUACCGCGAAGUCCUCACCUAUUCACUCUUAAAUCUACCUCAUUGAAGACUUCAAUAACUAUUUGUUGUUGGAAGCCAUAAUGAAACUGUUGAUCAAAUUACCCAAUCCAAAUCAAAUUAACCAAAAAGACUUUCUUCAGUCUUCAUAUUAAUUACCUUCCCUGCAGAACAGAACAUGGUUGCCCAUUAUGUGAAAUUCCUUUUACUUCUUUGGUGGUCCUGUCUGUUUUCUUAUGCCUAAUUGUUGCUUACGGUAUACUUGCUGUUUGUUUGUUUGUUUGUUUGUUUCUUUUAUACACUCAUUAAGUGAGUUCUCCAUCUAAAUAUCCCAUAAGGCACUUCAGAAUCAACAUAUCCAAAAGGAAACAUAUUUUACUCAUCUCCAAAUCUUUUGUUUCUCCAGCAAUUCAAGUUUUGGUGAAUGAAGCUAUGAACAAUCCAGUAAUCCAAACCAGAAACUUGAGAGUCAUCUUUUUUACACCUCCCACUUUGCAUCUCUCACAUUGAAUAAGCAAUCAUGCCCUGAGCCAUAUACUUUCUUAGCAUCUCUGCCAUCCUCCCUAUCCUCUUUGGUAUGGCCUCUCUUCAGACUGCCUCCUUAGCUCUCUUCUGGAUCACUAUAACAGCCUAACAAUUGUAUCACCUUCAGUUUUGCUCUUUCUUCCAUAUGACUAUCAGAAUUAUUUCUCUGGAAGAUCAUGUCAAUCACUCCUUCUCAGUGGUUCUUCAUUGCCUAUAGGAAGAAAUCCAAACUCCGUAGCAUGAGAGAAAUGUUUUUCAUAAUGACUUUAUCCUGCCUUUCUAUUGUUUCUUUCAUAUCAUGCCCAGCUCAGCCCCCCAUUCAAUGAAAAUCAUACUAAACUACUUUAAUUCCACUAACAUGUUGUGCUAGUUAAGCCUCUUUACCUUUGUUCAUGCUGUUUUUACUCAGACCACUCCAUUCCACAACAUACACUUGGGGGAUACCUACUAAUUUUGAAGACCCCCUUCAGCCCUGAUGUUAACCUUCUUUGUGGAAUCAUUAUUGACAUGAUGGAUAGAAUUGGUCAGAUGCUUCCUUGUUCAUCAGUUGUACUAGGCACAGCAUUCUAAUGUAGCACCUAUUACACAUUUUAAAAUUUGUUUACAUGUCUCCCCUCAUGUAAGUUUGUAGGACUGGUACCUGAAAUAUACUAGGCUUACCUUACUGACAUUUUGAAAUAUAAGAUAGCUUUCCAAGGCUUGCUUUUGCCUCCUGAUUCAGGACUCUACCAUUGGCAUCAUCAGGAAGAAUUUCUAAUAGUAUUAUUGAUCAGAGUCUUCUGGAAGUUUCUGCAGGUUACACAUCAACUUACUUUUCCCUGACAAAAUAAUUCUGCAUCUAGAAACACAAACAAGUAGUCAAAGAAGUUAUAUUGGAACUAAGAGAUGAAUUACCAAAGGAAAACUGAAAUCAAGAAACAUUUGAUGAAAUUCAGGCAAUGUCUUCAGGUGCCAGAGGACACAGAAAUGUCCCGAGAACCAUUCACAUGAUCUUAAAGAAACUUCUGCUGGUUGUCUUGUACCUUUGAAGCAGGUGUGAUUGAGAUGGAUACCUUAAUUUUUUUAAAGUAAAAAUUGUUCAUUCUCUUAUGUACUUUAGCAUACUGGUAUUCUUAUCAAAAUAUGAAACAGCAUCAAGUUUAAUAUUAAUUAUAAAACACAUGGUAUAUUUAUAUUUCUGCUCUUUAUUUUCUAAAGUUAACUCAGUUAACUCUCCAUAUAGGUAUUUGGACAUGGGCUGUAACCACUUUUUAGAACAAAUACUGUGAAGAUUGUUUUAUUACAUGACAUUUUAUGAUGUGAGAUUAACACCUUUGUGUUAGUAAACAUCCUAGAUUGUUCACUUCAAUAUAGAUUUUUAAAAUGUAUAGUUAUACUUGUGCAGGAUACUAGAAAAUGAAAAUGACUGUUCACACAUGCUUUAUUAUUCAGUAAUUUUACAAGAAAAUAUUACUGUUUGAAAGAAAAUCAUGCAUGCCUAAAACUGAUUCUGUUCCAGUUUUAUAAGUUAGUAUACUAAUUUUAAGACAUUGUGUAUAUUUCCUUCACUUAAUUUCUAUUUUCUACUGCAUUUCUACCAAUAUAAAAAACAAAGAAUUCAGUUGGUUCCUUUCUAGAGGGAAAAUUUGUUGUGAGUAUAGUACUGGGCAUCACAUGCUGCUUCCCUUUGUGGCUUUGAAUAAACCCUUAUUUUCUUGUCCAUUUUGUCUCAAAGAAUUUUAAAUGGCAUUGUCUAAACUCAGGAGUAUUGUGUGGAUUGAUUAGUAUGAGAAGUUUCUUUCAUGGUAAGUAUAGAGUUUAAGUAUAUAAAAUCAACUCUUGGUCAUAUAUGUAAAACACAAUUGAGAAGUAAAACUUGCCAUCAACUCUUGGUUAUAUACAAAAAAAUUGAGAAGUAAAACUUGCCAUACAUAUUAGUACAAGUAAUUAAAAACGGAUUAUAGCUUGAAAGGCAUUAGAUCUCACAUUAUUUACAUUCUCACUCCUUUUAGCUCCUUUGCUUUUUUGUUCUCUUGUUUGCAAAGAUUAAAAAUAAUGUUCCUGGCAUUUUAAUGGAACAUUACCAAAUGUACAUUCAUGUGUAUUGAUCAAAGACCAACUUUCAUUAGUGAAAAAAUCUAAUUUUUUCUAGACCAAUUAAAAGGAUAAAAUUCUCUUAUUUGAAUAAUAAGAGAAUUAAAGAGUUUAUUAAGCAAAAACAGUUGCUGAAAAAGCGUAGCAAAGACUGACUAGACUGGCUAGAAUUUCCUCUUCUUCCAGGACAGAUGGUUCUACGACAUUUUAAGCCUUCUUUGUAAUGGCCGAGUGACUGGGUUCUAGCUAGUGGAAUGUGAGUGGAAGCCUUUUACCUCAGAAAAGACACACAAUUCUGCAUGCCCUUUCCCCUUCUGUGGCAUGGUGCAAACAUGCAUGGUGACUUUGGAAGCCACAUUUUGACGAUGGUGGAGCCGCAAGAUGAAAAGAGCCUAGGUUCCUGAAUCACCAGGUGGAGGAAUAUUGCCAAUCCAUCAGUAAUGUAUUUUGUACUUUAUCAGAGCAAUAAAUAAAAUUCUCUACUUUUAGAGCCAUUAUACAUUUUUUUUUUUUAUUUUCAUUGCAGUUGUCGCCUGAACCUAUAUAGAAAUUGGUACCUUGAAAAGUGGAGGUUUCUGAACAAAAAAACCUUUAAGUUUUGCAGACUGUUCAAGAAGAAUGGUGCCAGCAUCUGCAUCAGGUGAUGGCUUCAAGUUAAAGAAAGAAGGUUCAUGGAAGAAGGUGAAGGGGAGCCAAGCUGGCUGUGUACAGAUAGCACAUAACCAGAAAGGAAGCAAGAGAUUAAUACCCACUGGGGUCACCACCAGAAGAAACCAGAGAAUGAAAACAGCACCUACUAAUGCCAGGAAGGCAGAGCCCAAAUAAGAAAACACUCCAUGUGGAGUGAAAGCUGCAGGAUGCUCUUUUUACCUCCCAUCUAUGUGAUUUGGUCAGCCUUACAAACCCAGAACCAUUGCACCUGUCACUAUGACUACAUGACUACGAUUACUCCCAUUUCACAGGGGAAGAGAGCUGAAUUAUCUUGGAGCUUCUCCUUUGAUAUAGCAGUUGUACAGGAACCUCAGUCAACUGGCCUGUUGUGCAGAAAGUUCUCAAGCCUGGUGCCAAGAGUACUGGGAACCACGAAUUCCCUUCUCGCCCCUGCGUCUUUGAAGCUGACCCCUGGAAGAGCAGAAAUCCUUGGCUCGGGUUCUGGAGUGGAUGGGAGACAGUUUACUGAUAAACUUAUUAAAAAUUUUGAAGA
rnacentral:lncRNA from 1 species